GCGUAUCUUUAUAGUCAAAACUACUCUCGGCAACGGAUAUCUCGGCUCUCGCAUCGAUGAAGAACGUAGCAAAAUGCGAUACUUGGUGUGAAUUGCAGAAUCCCGUGAACCAUCGAGUUUUUGAACGCAAGUUGCGCCCGAAGCCUUCGGGCCGAGGGCACGCCUGCCUGGGCGUCACG
rnacentral:rRNA from 1 species